rnacentral:rRNA from 1 species
AUUGAACGCUGGCGGCAGGCCUAACACAUGCAAGUCGAACGAGCGGAGGACGGGUGAGUAAUGUCUGGGAAACUGCCUGAUGGAGGGGGAUAACUACUGGAAACGGUAGCUAAUACCGCAUACCAUCAGAUGUGCCCAGGUGGGAUUAGCUAGUAGGUGGGGUAACGGCUCACCUAGGCGACGAUCCCUAGCUGGUCUGAGAGGCUGACCAGCCACACGGGAACUGAGAGACGGUCCAGACUCCUACGGGAGGCAGCAGUGGGGAAUAUUGCACAAUGUGCGCAAGCCUGAUGCAGCCAGGCCGCGUGUGGGAAGAAGGCCUUCGGGUUGUAAAGCACUUUCAGCGGGGAGGCGUUACCCGCAGAAGAAGCACCGGCUAACUCCGUGCCAGCAGCCGCGGUAAUAC